CCUACGGGAGGCAGCAGUGGGGAAUUUUGGACAAUGGGCGCAAGCCUGAUCCAGCAAUGCCGCGUGAGUGAAGAAGGCCUUCGGGUUGUAAAGCUCUUUUGUCAGGGAAGAAACGGUGGGGGCUAAUAUCUCCUACUAAUGACGGUACCUGAAGAAUAAGCACCGGCUAACUACGUGCCAGCAGCCGCGGUAAUACGUAGGGUGCAAGCGUUAAUCGGAAUUACUGGGCGUAAAGCGUGCGCAGGCGGUUUUGUAAGUCUGUCGUGAAAGCCCCGGGCUCAACCUGGGAAUUGCGAUGGAGACUGCAAGGCUUGAAUCUGGCAGAGGGGGGUAGAAUUCCACGUGUAGCAGUGAAAUGCGUAGAGAUGUGGAGGAACACCGAUGGCGAAGGCAGCCCCCUGGGUCAAGAUUGACGCUCAUGCACGAAAGCGUGGGGAGCAAACAGGAUUAGAUACCCUGGUAGUCCACGCCCUAAACGAUGUCUACUAGUUGUCGGGUUUUAAUUAACUUGGUAACGCAGCUAACGCGUGAGUAGACCGCCUGGGGAGUACGGUCGCAAGNUUAAACUUCAAAGGAAUUGGAGNGNGNGNGNGCGAGAGACGAGAGGAGAG
rnacentral:rRNA from 1 species